rnacentral:rRNA from 1 species
UGGGGAAUAUUGCACAAUGGGCGCAAGCCUGAUGCAGCCAUGCCGCGUGUAUGAAGAAGGCCUUCGGGUUGUAAAGUACUUUCAGCGGGGAGGAAGGCGAUAAGGUUAAUAACCUUGUCGAUUGACGUUACCCGCAGAAGAAGCACCGGCUAACUCCGUGCCAGCAGCCGCGGUAAUAAGGAGGGAGCCAGCGUUAAUCGGAAUUACUGGGCGUAAAGCGCACGCAGGCGGUCUGUCAAGUCGGAUGUGAAAUCCCCGGGCUCAACCUGGGAACUGCAUUCGAAACUGGCAGGCUAGAGUCUUGUAGAGGGGGGUAGAAUUCCAGGUGUAGCGGUGAAAUGCGUAGAGAUCUGGAGGAAUACCGGUGGCGAAGGCGGCCCCCUGGACAAAGACUGACGCUCAGGUGCGAAAGCGUGGGGAGCAAACA